rnacentral:rRNA from 1 species
UACGUAGGUGGCAAGCGUUGUUCGGAAUUAUUGGGCGUAAAGGGCGCGUAGGCGGCUUGUUAAGUCGGCUGUGAAAGCCCGGGGCUCAACCCCGGAGGGUCAGCCGAUACUGGCAGGCUAGAGUACGGAAGAGGUAGCUGGAAUUCCCGGUGUAGCGGUGAAAUGCGUAGAUAUCCGGAGGAACACCAGCGGCGAAGGCGGCAUCCUGGACUGGUCCUGACACUCAUGAGCGAAAGCGUGGGGAGCAAACGGG